UUGACCCGUCUUGAAACACGGACCAAGGAGUUUAUCGUGUGCGCAAGUCAUUGGGUGUUGAAAACUCAAAGGCGCAAUGAAAGUAAAGAAUCCGCAAGGAUACGACGUGUGAUCUGAGCAAUCACGAUUGCCUGGAGCAACAUGGCCCCAUUCUGGUCGCUUGCGACGGGGUGGAGGAAGAGCGUACGCGGUGAGACCCGAAAGAUGGUGAACUAUUCCUGAGCAGGAUGAAGCCAGAGGAAACUCUGGUGGAAGUCCGAAGCGAUUCUGACGUGCAAAUCGAUCGUCUGACUUGGGUAUAGGGGCGAAAGACUAAUCGAACCAUCUAGUAGCUGGUUCCUUCC
rnacentral:rRNA from 1 species